rnacentral:rRNA from 2 species
GGCACUAGCGCGGUGGUCCCACCUGACCCCAUGCCGAACUCAGAAGUGAAACGCCGUAGCGCCGAUGGUAGUGUGGGGUCUCCCCAUGUGAGAGUAGGGAACUGCCAGGC